rnacentral:rRNA from 1 species
CUGGUGUGCAUGUCUUCGUAUAAGCAUUAUACCGUGAAACUGCGAAUGGCUCAUUAAAUCAGUUAUCGUUUAUUUGAUAAUACCUUACUACUUGGAUAACCGUGGUAAUUCUAGAGCUAAUACAUGCUGAAAAUCCCGACUUCGGAAGGGAUGUGUUUAUUAGAUAAAAAACCAAUGCCCUUCGGGGCUUUUUGGUGAUUCAUGAUAACUUUACGGAUCGCAUAGCCUUGCGCUGGCGACGGUUCAUUCAAAUUUCUGCCCUAUCAACUUUCGAUGGUAAGGUAUUGGCUUACCAUGGUUUCAACGGGUAACGGGGAAUUAGGGUUCGAUUCCGGAGAGGGAGCCUGAGAAACGGCUACCACAUCCAAGGAAGGCAGCAGGCGCGCAAAUUACCCAAUCCCGACACGGGGAGGUAGUGACAAUAAAUACUGAUACAGGGCUCUUUUGGGUCUUGUAAUUGGAAUGAGUACAAUUUAAACCUCUUAACGAGGAACAAUUGGAGGGCAAGUCUGGUGCCAGCAGCCGCGGUAAUUCCAGCUCCAAUAGCGUAUAUUAAAGUUGUUGCAGUUAAAAAGCUCGUAGUUGAAACUUGGGCCUGGCUGGCGGGUCCGCCUCACCGCGUGCACUCGUCCGGCCGGGCCUUCCUUCUGAAGAACCUCAUGCCCUUCACUGGGCGUGCUGGGGAAUCAGGACUUUUACUUUGAAAAAAUUAGAGUGUUCAAAGCAGGCCUUUGCUCGAAUACGUUAGCAUGGAAUAAUAAAAUAGGGCGUGCGUUUCUAUUUUGUUGGUUUCUAGAGACGCCGCAAUGAUUAACAGGAACAGUCGGGGGCAUCAGUAUUCAGUUGUCAGAGGUGAAAUUCUUGGAUUUACUGAAGACUAACUACUGCGAAAGCAUUUGCCAAGGAUGUUUUCAUUAAUCAGUGAACGAAAGUUAGGGGAUCGAAGACGAUCAGAUACCGUCGUAGUCUUAACCGUAAACUAUGCCGACUAGGGAUCGGGCGAUGUUCUUUUUCUGACUCGCUCGGCACCUUACGAGAAAUCAAAGUUUUUGGGUUUUGGGGGGGGGAAUUAUGGGUCGCAAGGCUGAAACUUAAAGAAAUUGACGGAAGGUCACCACCCGGGCGUGGAACCCGGCGGCUUAAUUUGACUCAACCCCGGGGAAACUCACCAGGUCCCAAUAGAAAUAAAGGAUUGAAGAGAUGGAAACCCUUUUUGGUUUUUUUUGGGGGGGGGGGGGGGGGGGGGUUUU